GGAUAUUAAAUGGAUUACCAUGUUUGUUUACGGAGCAAAAUGAGAUAUAUCUU
rnacentral:tRNA from 1 species